rnacentral:rRNA from 1 species
UACGUAGGGUGCAAGCGUUGUCCGGAAUUAUUGGGCGUAAAGAGCUCGUAGGCGGUUUGUUGCGUCGGCUGUGAAAUCCCGAGGCUCAACCUCGGGUCUGCAGUCGAUACGAGCAAACUAGAGUGUUGCAGGGGAGACUGGAAUUCCCGGUGUAGCGGUGAAAUGCGCAGAUAUCAGGAGGAACACCGGUGGCGAAGGCGGGUCUCUGGGCAACAACUGGCGCUGAGGAGCGAAAGCGUGGGGAGCGAACAGG